UACGAAGGGAGCUAGCGUUGUUCGGAAUUACUGGGCGUAAAGGGCGCGUAGGCGGCUUCGCGAGUUGGGCGUGAAAUGCCUGGGCUUAACCCAGGAAUUGCGCCCAAUACUUCGAGGCUCGAGUGUGGGAGAGGAUAGUGGAAUUCCCAGUGUAGAGGUGAAAUUCGUAGAUAUUGGGAAGAACACCAGCGGCGAAGGCGGCUAUCUGGACCACAACUGACGCUGAGGCGCGAAAGCGUGGGGAGCAAACAGG
rnacentral:rRNA from 1 species